rnacentral:misc_RNA from 1 species
AAUCUGUAAUUUGUUGCAUCUAACCCAUCCUAUAAUUUUAGUUGCUGCAGGAACCUUUUCAUAACUAGAAAAUAUAGCGUCAAAUGUAAAUUCUAAACCAAUUCUACAGGAACUACUUUUUAAGUAAAUUUGAUGCUAAACAUCGUAGCAUAAUAGUAGUCGAAAUGCAUAUGAGUGCAUUGUUUUUCUUAUAAUUUUAAAAUGAAUUUGAUAAAUAAAAGGGCUGUCCCCAAUACACCAGGAUCUCCCCAUAUUCGGAGGGUUGAAAAAUUAAAAUGUCAUAUUGGCUGCGACAUCAAAUUCUUCAAUCAUAUUUUGCAUCCUUUAUGUUGUGUAUAAUCCUAUAAGAGAUUGUGUUUCUGUGCACUGUAUUUGAAUAUAUUUUGUGAGCAACUAUAUAUCUAAAAAAUAAUUACAUGAUGAGAACUUUUGGGUAGAAAUUGAUGACAAUUUUUCCAAGGACCGAGCAUAUAUCAAAAUUAGCCAAUAUUACUCACAAAUUGUUCAGCAUUGGACAGUCAGUGGGUGAGGAGAGUACUUAAAUGACUCGGAGAGCUCAUAUUACUUCUCUUCUAUUUAAUUUUUCAUGCCUGCUAGCAUUCAAAUCAACAAAGAUGGUUAUUACCAAAAACUAAGUUGCAUUUUGCUCAAGCUUCACAUUGGAUUAUGCCCUUCUAGAUUUUUUUUUUUCUGCUUGUAAAAUCAUUGAGAAUAUGAAAAUUCCUCCUAAUGAUUGAUUGUAAUUAGAACUAACUCUACUGGCAAAUUGUGUUAAUUCCAUGAAUGAAUGAUUUGCUAGAAAAUUAAAGAAAAAUGUGUCAAUUGUAUACAAAUAAUUGUCUCUUCCAAUCAAUUAUUUUUAUGAACAUUUGUAGGA